CUUCCUCCUCCUUCAGAUCUUCUCAGACACCCAAGGAAGACACACCGCCUUCUCUCCUCCUCCUCCUUUUCCUCCUCCUCUUCUUCUUCCUUCUUCUUCACCUCUUCGCUUCAUCCGUCAUCUUAAUCAGACUUCUUCGAUAAUGGAGAUAACAACGACGACGAAAGAAGAAGAAGAAGAAGAAGAAGAAGAAGAAGAAGACGAAUAAAUGGAAAAAGAAAACCGGUGAAGAUGAUAUUAGUGACAAAAAAUCCACAACAGAAAGAAAGAAAGAAAAA